UCCUGUUCUUGCACUCUUUGCUUCCUGUCUGUGACUCUGGUGGAGUGGGGUUUUUGAACAGUUUAACACAGACAUCCAUCCUGGCUAACAGGAUGCACAGGCCAGAAGGAACAUGAUACCUAGCUACCAGGGCCUGGCCAGCCUAGUAGAGCAGAGGGGAAAGCCCCAUAGCACCCACCUCCACAGCACCUGGGCUGUGAAUCUGCAGAGGAGCAAAAAGACAGGAGACUGUAAAUAUUAUUCCAAUAAAGAAGAGGAGGUCAGAAAAGCAGGAAAAGAGGAAUAAUGCACUGGAGGAAUUCCAUGGGAACUGGAACGAUCUCUAGGAAGUGAUGCAGAGUGAAAGGAACAGGAACCAGGAGAACAUUGUACACAGAGACUGAUACAUUGUGAUACAAUCAAAUGUAAUGGACUUCUCUACUAGCAGCAAUGCAGUGAUCCAGGACAAUCCUGAGAGACAUAUGAGAAAGACUAUUCACAUUCAGAGGAAGAACUGUGGGAAAAGACACACAGAUGAAAAACAACUGCUUGAUCACAUGGGUCGGUGGGGCUAUGACUGGGAAAGUAGACUUUAAAAGAUCACGUAGUAUAAAUACUAAAAUAAUGGGUUUUGAUCGAUGGCAUAUGUUAAACCCAGUGGAAUUGUGUGCCAGAUAUGGGAGAGAGGUGGGAGAAGGGGAGGGAAGGAA